GUGUUGACGUAGACUCAUUAUAUCUUAAAAAGAUAAAAGCAGACAAGAUAUGUCGGAGCUUAUUAGCAACUCUCGUCAUGAAGCGGAUCAGAUUCUUCUCGACGACAGCAAGUGUACUAACACGGACCUAUUAAGUGUUUAUUGCUGUAAACGAUCCUUAUGUUUCAUACAGACACCGCAAGAAGGAGCUGUUCCUUCGUCCAUACAAGGUGCUUAUAAUUUAGUAACAAAGAACAACUGCGAAAAGGCUGCCUUCCUGAAGCAAUGAAGUACAAUGAUGAGCUAGCGAGACUAAAUCACCAGUAUCAAUAAAGUAAGUUACCUAAAAUUAUUGUUUAUUUACUUAUUUACUUGUUAAGAUCUUUUCGCAAAAUAUUUGUAGACUUAAAUCGAUAUUUGACAUUCACAAAAAACUAUUAGUGUAACAAUGUUCAAUUCUUUCCGAGACGCAGUACCCCAGUAAAAAAGAAGUGUACGCUCCAAUGUUAAGAUGGCAACCUAAGUUAAGAACAUGAAAACGUGUUGACGUAGACUCCUUAUAUCUUAAAAAGAUAAAAGCAGACGAGAUUUGUCGGAGCUUAUUAGCAACUCUCGUCAUGAAGCGGAUCAGAUUCUUCUCGACGACAGCAAGUGUACUAACACGGACCUAUUGAGUGUUUAUUGCUGUAAACGAUCCUAAUGUAUCAUAGUUCAUACAGACACCGCAAGAAGGAGCUGUUCCUUCGUCCAUACAAGG